GCCCUGAAAGCCGCAGCGCCCCCGCGUGCUCCGGCUCGGCGGGGCCAGAGCGGGGCGGCUGCCCCGGCCAAGACGGGGAAAUUAAACCCUCCGAGUUUGUCCGGUAAUCGGGACACGGCGGCUUAGUGGCUGUGGAGGGCUCUGUGCUCAGCGCGAGGUGCGGGUGUUGGAGCCUGCGGAGCGCCGCAGACAUAGGUGGAACGCUCGACUAGCGGAGGCACUGGAGGAAAGGGAUUAUCACACCCAGACCCUGGGAACUGCUGACCAGUCAGCCUCACCUUUGUGCCUGACAAGAUCAUGGAUCAGGUCCCCCUGGAAGUUAUGUCAAAGCAUCUGAGAAGUGAUUGUGUGAAGAUAAUUAGACAGCUAACACAGCUACAGCAAGAGCAAAUCAUGCCCGACUAAUCUAGUGCCCUCCUAUGAUGGAGUGACUGCAUCAGGAGACAAAGGAAAGUGCUGGCUGCUUGGGCAGGAAGAAUUUUCCAGCAUGACAGUUGGAAAACCCACAACAUGACAGACUACCACAGAUGUUUCCUGCUGCUACCAUAUAGAUUUUCUCUCAAAUAUUACUUGUGUGGCUGAUGCACAGAUAAAAAUGGAGUGGUAGUAGUUUCAGACUCUCUCGUUUUAUUAUUAAAUACAUUGUUCUGCUUGUGUGCCUGUAUCAAGUACAAAAGCUGCCACCAUAGAUGAGACACUUGUCUGAUUCCAAAAUGAGUGGUGUUGUUACAUCUUGUCGAAUUAUGCUUAUAAAAUGGUUAAAAUCUAAUCAAUAGGCCCUAUUCCACCUAUGCACAUAUAGUGGGUCAUUUUGGGGGUAGAAAGUCUAAACUGCCAAUACCUUCCCCAUUCCACACAUUUUUUUUUAAACUCCCUUUCCUCUCUUGCAGGAAGGCUGCAUACAUACAUAGCUGGAUGUGUGUCAGCUUGUGUCAAUGCCUUCUUGCAGGGACUCUAAUAUUAUGAAAUUUAAUGCUGAUCUGAGCAUAAUGACAGGUUUUGUUUCAGAGAAGGACAACUUCUGAAUGACUGAAUAAGCCAUGUACCAUAGAGUGGAGUGAAGCAGAAGGAGGCAUCUGCUUAGUAUCACAAAAUGCAGCCAGGAAGAAUGCCCCAAAUUUUCUCAUUAGAACAAGUUUACGAAGAACCCCCUCAGGCUCCCAGUAGCAUUCUGUUGUAUCACGGAACGUUACCUGAUUUUGUCAUCUUGCACAUUACUAAUUGCAAGGCUGCAGCAUACAGACACACUAUAUGCAGAAUCUCCAUCACAAUCCAAUUGCAAUUCCACAGGGUGUUUUACAGUGGCAAUUAGCAAUACAGGUACCAUGGAGACUGGUCCCAGCUGCAGGGAGAGUCAACAGGGCCACAUAGCAGAUGAGAUAUGCAGCAAAUCCCUGCAAUUCCCAUUCAAAGUUAAAAGGAAUACCUGGGUGACACAGCUUUUGCAGGUGCAGUAGCAUGAAUUACCCAGGGAGCGUGGUCUGGUGGCUUCUGCCUGUUCAGAACUGACCCAGGCAGUUUUCCAUCAAUAUGCAGUGAGGCUGCAGCCUAAAAAGUGCUUUCACACAACACAAUCUUUCUGAUGGAGACAAAAUACUAAAUUCAGGCUAAAAUGAUCAGAAGGAAGCCUGUUGGAGAUAAUAGCACUGACUUACUCUGUGCACUCUGUACAUUUUUUUCCCUAAUUCUUACUUAGAAAUUGUUUGCUAGCUACUUUUACUCUAGUUUAAGAGAAUUCAUCUUUAACUAGGUUUUUGUUUUGAGGAACGUAGCCUGUUGUUAGUGUAAGCAGCUUGUUCUUGCAUCCAUGAAACAGACACUGUUAUUUGAACUUCCCAGCUGUUGCCAGAAAAGGGUUCUACAUGCUUGCUACAAGAGCUGCCUUCAAGAUCACUCCUGCUGCAAGGACAUUUUCCUGCCUUAGUAUUUAAUAUGAUUGUGAAACUUUAUGUCUUCACCAAAAAUAUAGAACACUUGCAGAUAGGCACAUUUUACUGUGACACACCACUUAAUUAUGUUAUCCAUGUUUAAUUUUGUAUUUUAAAUAAAAAUCAUUAGAUUAAGUUUCUUACAUCAGUUUACCUAGAACAGCUGGUGUUCUAGUUUUGUUACGCUCCCUCAAACCUUUCAUCCCUUAAGUGAAAUCCUAGAAUGAUCCAUAGUAGUUAGGAAAUUUCGGUAUUCAGAUUCCCAGCACAGAUCAUAGUAGGUUCUUCUCCCAACCGAAACAAGAAGUAAAGGUGACUGAAAUAAGUACAUAGCAUAAGUAUGAACUGAUAGAGGGCAUAGUUUGUAGUGCUCCUGAC